rnacentral:rRNA from 1 species
UACGGAGGGUGCAAGCGUUAUCCGGAUUCACUGGGGUUAAAGGGUGCGUAGGAGGGCAGGUAAGUCAGUGGUGAAAUCCCCGAGCUUAACUUGGGAACUGCCGUUGAUACUAUCUGUCUUGAAUACCGUGGAGGUGAGCGGAAUAUGUCAUGUAGCGGUGAAAUGCUUAGAUAUGACAUAGAACACCAAUUGCGAAGGCAGCUCACUACACGAAUAUUGACACUGAGGCACGAAAGCGUGGGGAUCAAACAGG